AGAAUGUUUGCAAGUUUAUUGGUAGAGACAGCAUUAGUGGAAACAGAAGGUAAACGCUAUUGGUUAUCCUAAGACAGCGAUUGACCUAUCCAAUUAGCCUUCAAAAUAGCUAACAUUGGGGAAAAAUUGAAAGUGGCAGUAUUUUCGCACAAAAAAAUGGCUGUGAAGUUAUAUUAAAAAGGUUAAAAAUUGCAUUUUUUUUAAUUUUAAUACUAAGACGUGUUUUAUGAAAUUGUCUCCCGGAAGAUAAGCGCCGUUUCCACCAUCAUCAUUGUCGUUACCAUGGAACAUGCUGUGCGGCGAACGCCUGGGGAAACAGGCGUAUGAGGGGCCCCUACACUGUGCGAUGGACAGCAGGCAGCCGUAUAAAAUGUGUCUAUCUUCACCUUCGCUAGUAAACAAUUCAUGAACAGGAUGUUCCGUCAUUGGUGGCGUCUGAACAAAUUUUUGAUUUCUUCACGGCGCCGAAAAUAAGUCUUCAAUAAAAGUCGAAUUUUUCACGAACCUUGUAAAAACAAAAUUUACGGAAAUUUAUCAAUAUGUUGUCUACCGCAAACAAUCAAAUAUGUAUCUAACACAAAUAAACACAUC
rnacentral:lncRNA from 1 species